rnacentral:lncRNA from 1 species
UCACAAAUUGUCAAAUUCUUAGGUCACACUUAAAUAGUUGGUAACAAAUAACUAAAUGAUUGGUCACAUGCGUUAAAUAGUGGUCGUAUAUCAGCACAAAAACAUCCACCACACAAACACUAUCAUUAUCAGCAGCACACAAAACACCAUCUAAAUCUCACCCAAAUCGCCAGAUCUAUCACCACAAAAUCGCCGCCGCCACCACCACACAAAACACCAUCCAAACCUACAAAAUCGCCAUCAACCCAAGCUAUUUCUGCUUCGCGUGGCUUGCUAUAGUGUUCCGACGAUUUCAUUUCACCAUCGGAGUGGUAGAUCUGCUUCACUAAUUCAUUUCAUUAUCUCAGCUUGUGGUGAUUUGAGAAGGGAAAAGUGCGACGACGUGGUACUUCUUCAUUACAGUAGCACCAGCGAAGGGUACUCCAGCAAUGACAUGCUUCGAUGACGACGACGUCUGACGAAGAGAAGACAUGAGAUGGAGUUAGGGAGAUGAAGAGAUGGAGAUGAAGAGGAGUCAGUGACAAGAGAGAGAUGGACAGUGAGAGUGAAAUGAAGAGAGAAGGGAAAUUAUUAGGGUUUUUAAUUGAACUGAGUGGGUUAAUUAUAUAUAAUACCUUAUUUUUGCAUAAAUAAAUUUCACCCCUGAAUUUUUAAUUUGAAAGUUUUAAUACCUGAUUUUCUGUAAUUUCCUCUUUCAAGAAUGUGUAAUGAAGCUUGAAAGAGGAGACGAUGAAAUGAUGAAGAUAAUGAAAUGUUUGGUUAAGUUUUCUUCUUCCCGACCUCUCCUCUUAAUCUCUUCUUCUCCGGUCUUCUCCCUCCAUUCUCUCCCUCUCUUGCUGCCUUUUUCUUUUUAAUCCUCUGCUUAUUUUCUGCUGGUUAUUGUUCAACUGCUAAAAUUCCAUUGAUCCUACAUCAUCUUUCCCCGUCACUUAUAUAUGUGUUUCUUUGGUACCCUGGUGCUCGCUUGAAUAGCAUAGUUUUAUACAAUGGGUCGUUGAAUUGUUAAGCUAGAACUUCAUUUAUAAUAAUUCAUCCUAGGCUUCGGUUCUUCUCUUGGUUAUGUUUUCUGGUAGCUGUCCCUUGGUUAUGUAAUUAUGGACUUCACCUGGUUUCCAGUUCUAAAGCUACAACAUUAUUCCAGUUGUGUUCUUUAGGGAUAAACGUCUCAACUUUCUUGGCUAUUCUCUCCUCACCUUCUUGAGGAUGACUUGAGACUUGAAAUGAAGAAUUAUGUGUUGCUGCAGAAUGUGGGAAAAUCCAUGUUGUCGUGUUCUCUCUUGGAUUUGAAUCAAUGUCCUAACGGGAUAGUUGCUUUUGCUAAAACUCGUUUAGGUUUUUGAAUACGACGAUAUGCCAAUCUCACAAAUUUGAAGGAGUGCUCAGGAGAUUUUUGGUUUCUUGUGAACGGAACGUUUAGGUUUUUGAAUACCUGCAUCGUUUUAAAAUACCUUGGACGAUAUGUCAAUCUCCUCACAAAUUCAAAGAAGCGUUUAGGAGAUUUUGGUUUCUUGUGAAACGGAACGAGGAUAACGUUUUCAAAAAUGAUAAUACUCCACACGCAAAAAUUAUAAGACCGGUUUAAUAUAAGUUAUUUAUUUUCGAACUAUAACAAUUGCCGUCAAAAGAACUAUAUUUUUAGUUCAUACUAUUUAAUGAGGAUUAGAAUCUUUAUUUUUAUUUAAAUCAAAGUUAAUAAUUAAUUUUAAUAAUAUAUUUUAUGAGAUUCACAAUUUUUUAAUUAUAUAUUUUAUUGAUUUUUAUCAAAAUUUAUUAAAAUUUUGAUUUUAAUACAUGACUUAUGAUGUUUACCACAAACAAAAAUUGGUAUUUAAUAAUUAAAAGACCAGACUUUUUGAAGUUUGUCCGGUACAAAAACGAAGCUUGGCCGUCUAGUAAGAGACGGAAAAAUCAAGUCAAUUGAGCAAAUAUACCUCCAUUCCCUCCCAAUCAAAGAGUACCAAAUCGUCGAUAUCCUAAUCGGCCCCUCUUUGAAAGACGAGGUGAUGAAAAUCAUGCCCGUCCAGAAGCAGACCCGAGCCGGUCAGAGGACCCGAUUCAAGGCGUUCGUGGUGGUUGGAGAUGGGAACGGGCACGUUGGGCUCGGCGUCAAAUGCUCGAAGGAAGUGGCAACUGCGAUUCGUGGCUCAAUUAUAUUGGCUAAGCUUUCUGUGAUUCCAGUCAGGAGAGGGUACUGGGGGAAUAAGAUCGGUAAACCACACACUGUUCCUUGUAAGGUCACUGGAAAAUGUGGUUCAGUAACAGUCCGCAUGGUGCCCGCACCUCGUGGAGCCGGAAUUGUCGCUGCCCGUGUCCCCAAGAAGGUUCUGCAAUUUGCUGGUAUUGAAGACGUCUUCACCUCCUCCCGAGGCUCCACCAAGACCCUUGGAAACUUCGUCAAGGUGUGUUCUGAUUUAUUUUUGGUUCUUCUCAUUCUUUGGCAUUGAUUUUGAUCUGAAAUUUACCCCCGUGGAACUUGUUGAUGUUCUGAAGAAUUUAUGCAUUUCUGUUGAUUAAAUGUCUUUGGGUAACACGAAUAAUAGUUGAUACUCUUAAAACUUGUUUCAAUUUGUUAAUAUGUGAGGAUGAUUCCAAAGUUCUAACUUAUAAUUACAAUGAUGAGAUAACAGAUUUUUAUUUCGGGUUUAGUUUAUUGUGGUGAACAAUAUUGAAGUAGGGAUAGAACAUAAAAUCUUGUUCUUUAUACGAUACUAUUAUUGAGUGUUAGCUAAAGAUCAGAUUUUUAAUAGAUUUUUAUAAAUGUUUAUUAUACAUGAGCUCGAAAAGUUGGUAAAAGCUGUGUAUCCCAUUUGUGAAAAUUAAUUGUAGCCUUUGAUUUGGAUUUUAUCGACUGUUUCUGACUAAUGAAGGCAUUGGUAAUUUACACUGGUUCUGUAGUCAUUUCAUCUAGUGACUCGUCUUUGGAUGCUAAUGAAUUUUGCACUUUACAGGCAACCUUUGAUUGUCUUUUGAAGACUUAUGGUUUCCUCACUCCGGACUUAUGGAGGGAGACUCGCUUCUCAAAAUCUCCUUUACAAGAGUACACUGAUCUUUUGGCAAGGCCGACCGCCAAGGUUGUCCAAGUCAUCGAGGAUGCAGGAGCCUGAACUUUUUGGACUGAGAUGUUUUGCUAAGUUUUCUAGUUAGACAAUAUUUAUACUUUGUCUUGCUCUUUCGAUCAAAUACUUGAAUUUUGUUUCAAGUUUUGCUUUAAAUUGAAGAUCUAGCCUUUUUAAGUUUUUCUCUAUUUGAAUGAAUUGAUUUUUUCCACUUAAUUAUAAACUGAAUUUAUCCAAAUCCUACUAUAGAUCUAUGGUUGAAAUGGAUAAUUUUUGGAUAUUGAUACAUUAAUAUACUAACAAGUAGUUAGUCAUUCGCUUUACAUUGAAAUAUAAUAUUGGCCCGUGUCUUCUAAACCAGCAAUUUCGGAUAUUAGGGUCUCUCGUCUCUUUACAAGGUCUUCUGAUGUGGACAUCAGCUUUUGUAUUAUGGACUUUUAUUCAUGCUUUCUUUAGUGGGCUUGUAUUAAUGGGUUGACCUAAGCUCUUUAUACUUUUUGGGUUUGUUUUGCUUAUUUAAAGAAUGUGUAAUGAAGCUUGAAAAAGGAGAUGAUGAAUUGAUGAAGAUGAAUGAAAUGUUUGGUUAUAUUUUCUCCUCCCCCGGCCUGACCUUUUAUUCUCUUCUUCUCCGGUCUUCUUUCCCCCAUUUUCUCGGGUUCUUGAUGCCUAUUUCUUUUUGAUCCUUUGCCUAUUUUCUGCUGGUUAUUGUUGAACUGCUGAAAUCCCAUUGAUCCUACAUCAACUUGUCGAGUUUUGAUAUUUUGUUUUUAAGAAAGAUCGUCCUCGAUGGUAUGAAGCUAGCCACAUUGCUGAUGGUUUGGAGAUUGAUGGCAACCUUUUGUGAUUUAUCUACUCGACAGGGUCGAGUUCUUCUCCCACCCCAGGAGAAUUGAUGCGGACAUCAGUUUUUAUAUUAUGGACUUUUAUUCAUGCUUUCUUUAGUGGGCUUAUAUUAAUGGGCUGGCUAUGCCCGUUAUGCUUUUUAGGUUUGUUUUGCUUAUUUAAAGGGAAAAAUUCAUAGUUCGGGUGUAUUAUUUAUACCAAUUCACAAAUCAGGUACAUAAUUCAAAAAUUCAAAAUUCAGGUAUUUAUAUAAUUAAUUGAAAAUCACAGUUAUAAGAUUAAUGGUUACAGAUUUAUAAUUAUAAGUCACAGAUUUAUUUUCUGGUCACAUAUCAUCAAAUUAAUUGGUCAUGAAUUAUUUCAAGGUCACAAAUCUAAAAUUUUGUAGGUCAUAAAUUAUUUCAAGGUCACAGAUCCAAAAUUUACGGGUCUCAAAUUGCUUCAAGGUCAAAUAAAUUGGUCACAAAUUGUCAAAUUCUUAGGUCACACUUAAAUAGUUGGUAACAAAUAACUGUUCAAAAAUUCAAAAUUCAGGUAUUUAUAUAAUUAAUUGAAAAUCACAGUUAUAAGAUUAAUGGUUACAGAUUUAUAAUUAUAAGUCACAGAUUUAUUUUCUGGUCACAUAUCAUCAAAUUAAUUGGUCAUAAAUUAUUUCAAGGUCACAAAUCUAAAAUUUUGUAGGUCAUAAAUUAUUUCAAGGUUACAAAUCCAAAAUUUACGGAUCUCAAAUUGCUUCAAGGUCAAAUAAAUUGGUCACAAAUUGUCAAAUUCUUAGGUCACACUUAAAUAGUUGGUAACAAAUAACUAAAUGAUUGGUCACAUGCGUUAAAUAGUGGUCGUAUAUCAGCACAAAAACAUCCACCACACAAACACUAUCAUUAUCAGCAGCACACAAAACACCAUCUAAAUCUCACCCAAAUCGCCAGAUCUAUCACCACAAAAUCGCCGCCGCCACCACCACACAAAACACCAUCCAAACCCACAAAAUCGCCAUCAACCCAAGCUAUUUCUGCUUCGCGUGGCUUGCUAUAGUGUUCCGACGAUUUCAUUUCACCAUCGGAGUGGUAGAUCUGCUUCACUAAUUCAUUUCAUUAUCUCAGCUUGUGGUGAUUUGAGAAGGGAAAAGUGCGACGACGUGGUACUUCUUCAUUACAGUAGCACCAGCGAAGGGUACUCCAGCAAUGACAUGCUUCGAUGACGACGACGUCUGACGAAGAGAAGACAUGAGAUGGAGUUAGGGAGAUGAAGAGAUGGAGAUGAAGAGGAGUCAGUGACAAGAGAGAGAUGGACAGUGAGAGUGAAAUGAAGAGAGAAGGGAAAUUAUUAGGGUUUUUAAUUGAACUGAGUGGGUUAAUUAUAUAUAAUACCUUAUUUUUGCAUAAAUAAAUUUCACCCCUGAAUUUUUAAUUUGAAAGUUUUAAUACCUGAUUUUCUGUAAUUUCCUCUUUCAAGAAUGUGUAAUGAAGCUUGAAAGAGG